UAACACCACACAUGAGCGUGUAGGAGCACACCCAGUGUGUCAUCAUCUGCUUUUUCUUUCUUAGUGGGUAAGUUACUGGAACAUUAAAAAAAAAAUGAUUAUUUACGGUGAAAACUUGGAGAAGCGAUCGCGCCUGGGUUUUCCAGUUCCCUCCUCCGACUGUGCUACAAAGUACCAGGCUGCAGCCUCCCUAGGAGGAGGCCCUCGGCACACACGUCGCAGCUCCGGCUACCAGCUCGAGCCGAAUCCCAGUGUCAGAGUAACACAGAAUUUGAAAUCCAACCUCCGAGAUGUUCUUAACCUCCUUUCAAGUUUCUGAAGAUAUGUUUACCAAAUGUCGGCGAGGGAACAAUGGUUCUCAGAACUUACAGCAAGGAGUGACGGGACAGAGACUCAUCCUGACCGAGGCGUGGAUGGCGCCACUCCACACCAGAUAGGAGGAAAGAGUUCAAGACAGGACCUUUGAGGAACUUGAUAAUUGCUGUUUUCAGCAAAAUGUAACUUUAAACCAAAGGACGGCAGACUUCCUGGACAGGUCCAGACACUAAAUCUUUCAGGUUUUAUGAACUUCAUGGUCUCUGUCGUAGCUACCCAGCUCCUGUACCCUGAAAGAGCACCCAUUGGCAACACACACACACACACACACACACACACACACACACACACACACACACACAGAGUACGAUCCCUUGAACCAACCUACAAAUACAGGUAGCUCAUUUCAUAGUUUGCUGGAGUCUGCUUCAACGGAGCCUGAUUUUCCAUUUUGCCAUAGUAGAAUUGAACCUUUUCAAAGAUCAGUUUCUUCUUUUGUAUUUUUAACAAGUUAAUCUUUUUGCCUUCUGUCCGUCUCAGACACGACUUCGUGAUGCUCUGUUCCCUUUUCUUUGUUUUUAAAGAGAUAAAAUGUUGAGUUGGGCUGAAACAGGAAACCCUAUCCUGAGGUUGCCAUUGGAGAUAGGUCUAGUCAUCUUUUUGGCUUAGGCCUGCUUCAUUUUGUCUUAUUUUGUCUCAUGUGGUUCAUCUGGCUUGAGUUCAACCUUAGGAACAAGGCUUGAGACUUGGAGUUGUGCUCACUUUGGAACUGAACCAGCAAUGGAGAGGAGCCGAUGCUGGCCAGAACAUGAGUCCUAUGCUCUGGGGAUGAUGAUUUUGGGCGGUUAUAAGUAGCUGGAAGCGUGAAGACUCAGCACCCAGGCCUCUCCGUAAGCCUGUGUAUUGGAGAUUCACAGGAAUGUUCCUGAAAGGCACACUCAGACGUGAGAGGCAGAUGGAUGUGUCCCAGGAGUCAUGAAAAGAUGGUUUAUAAAAUCAGUCCCUCCGUUUUACAUACAGAAGACAAUGAAGAACUCUUCAGACUUAGAAGGCAAAUACUGACACAUUCAUGAAUGCCGGAAUAUCAAUAAAUGGAAAUAAACAUGCCAGUUUUAAAA